GUAGACAUAGUUUAAUAAAAACAUUAGAUUGUGAUUCUGAAAAUAAAGGUUAAACUCCUGUUGUCCACC
rnacentral:tRNA from 1 species